CUUGGAAUGCUCUACAAGAUUUAUAUCAACUGUAGGUUGAAAAAUCCUACUUAUCCACUCUCCUUACUUUAGAGAUGAGGAAUUUGAAUCUUAGAGAGUUUAUGACUUACCCAAUUGGUGGUAUUACUGAAAACCAAAAGCCAGUUUGCUUCCUAGUUGAAUUUUCUUUCCAUCAUGCCAUGUGGAGUUAUUUUGAGUCAACCAGAAAAUCUGCAAGGACAUCAAAAUAAUGUUCUUUCUCCCUCUGACCUCAGUAAUAACUGGUUAAAGAUUUAGAAUGCUUUAGAGUAAAUCCUCAAAGCAGCUGCAGGUCCUCAAUGUUCCAGAAUAGAUAUUUUAAGUUCUCCAAAUAAAAAAUCCCAAUAAAGACCUUCUUUUUGCAGUAACUAAAAAAGUUUCCAGCUCUCCUGUCACAAAGUGGCUAUUGAGACUUCAAAUGUCAGAUGAUCUCCUUUGAAGCAGCAAAAUAGAGUGGAUAGAACUCCAGGAUGGAUGUCAAAAAACUCUGUGAUCCUAGUUCUAACUCAAAUUUACCUUUUACAUGGUAUGAGGUUGGCAACAAAUGAUUCAUGGACCACCACUCAUCUGCAGACCAGACAUUAAUAAGAUGUGCUUGCUUCUCCUUCGCCCUUCACCAUGAUUGUAAGUUUCCAGAGGCCUCCCAGUCAUGGUUCCUGUUAAGCUUGCAGAACGUGCACACAACCUGGAGCAAAGAGACGUCAACGUAGACUUGAGAGCCUCAACAAACAUCUACACAUUCAAAAUUCAGAGAAUAAUUGCAGACUUACACGUUAAAUGAUGCCACAGGCUUAUGGUGAAUGUACAAAUCUAAUUCC
rnacentral:lncRNA from 1 species